GUCCACGCAGUAAACUAUGAGAACUAGAUUUGGGGGGAGUUUGACCCCUUCCGAAUCGAAGCGAACGCAUUAAGUUCUCCGCCUGGGAAGUACGGUCGCAAGACUAAAACUCAAAGGAAUUGACGGGGGCCCGCACAAGCGGUGGAUUAUGUGGUUUAAUUCGAAGCAACGCGAAGAACCUUACCUAGGUUUGAAAUCCUGAGAAUCCUCCGGAAAUGGAGGAGUGCCCUUCGGGGAAUUCAGUGACAGGUGCUGCAUGGCUGUCGU
rnacentral:rRNA from 1 species